rnacentral:rRNA from 1 species
GAGUUUGAUCCUGGCUCAGGACGACGCUGGCGGCGUGCUUAACACAUGCAAGUCGAGCGGUAAGGCCCUUCGGGGUACACGAGCGGCGAACGGGUGAGUAACACGUGAGCAACCUGCCCCUGACUCUGGGAUAAGCGGUGGAAACGCCGUCUAAUACCGGAUACGACCCGCCCCUGCCUGGGGUGCGGGUGGAAAGUUGUUUCGGUCGGGGAUGGGCUCGCGGCCUAUCAGCUUGUUGGUGGGGUAACGGCCUACCAAGGCGAUUACGGGUAGCCGGCCUGAGAGGGCGACCGGCCACACUGGGACUGAGACACGGCCCAGACUCCUGCGGGAGGCAGCAGUGGGGAAUCUUGCGCAAUGGGCGAAAGCCUGACGCAGCGACGCCGCGUGGGGGAUGACGGCCUUCGGGUUGUAAACCUCUUUUACCACUCACGCAGGCCCCGGGUUCUCCCGGGGUUGACGGUAGGUGGGGAAUAAGGACCGGCUAACUACGUG